AUUGAACGCUGGCGGCAGGCCUAACACAUGCAAGUCGAGCGAGCGGCGGACGGGUGAGUAAUGUCUGGGAAACUGCCUCAUGGAGGGGGAUCACUACUGGAAACGGUAGCUAAUACCGCCUACCAUCCGAUUUGCCCAGAUGGGAUUAGCUAGUAGGUGGGUUAACGGCUCCCCUAGGCCACGAUCCCUAGCUGGUCUGAGAGGAUGACCAGCCACACUGGAACUGAGACACGGUCCAGACUCCUACGGGAGGCAGCAGUGGGGAAUAUUGCACAAGGGGAGCAAGCCUGAUGCAGCCAUGCCGCGUGGGUGAAGAAGGCCUUCGGGUUGUAAAGCACUUUCAGCGGGGAGGCGUUACCCGCAGAAGAAGCACCGGCUAACUCCGGGCCAGCAGCCGCGGUAAUUC
rnacentral:rRNA from 1 species